rnacentral:rRNA from 1 species
UCAGGAUGAACGCUGGCGGCGUGCUUAACACAUGCAAGUCGAACGAUGACUUCUGUGCUUGCACAGAAUGAUUAGUGGCGAACGGGUGAGUAACACGUGAGUAACCUGCCCUUAACUUCGGGAUAAGCCUGGGAAACCGGGUCUAAUACCGGAUACGACCUCCUGGCGCAUGCCAUGGUGGUGGAAAGCUUUAGCGGUUUUGGAUGGACUCGCGGCCUAUCAGCUUGUUGGUUGGGGUAAUGGCCCACCAAGGCGACGACGGGUAGCCGGCCUGAGAGGGUGACCGGCCACACUGGGACUGAGACACGGCCCAGACUCCUACGGGAGGCAGCAGUGGGGAAUAUUGCACAAUGGGCGAAAGCCUGAUGCAGCGACGCCGCGUGAGGGAUGACGGCCUUCGGGUUGUAAACCUCUUUCAGCAGGGAAGAAGCGAAAG